rnacentral:rRNA from 1 species
AGUGAACGCUGGCGGUAGGCCUAACACAUGCAAGUCGAACGGCAGCACAGUAAGAGCUUGCUCUUACGGGUGGCGAGUGGCGGACGGGUGAGGAAUACAUCGGAAUCUACUUUUUCGUGGGGGAUAACGUAGGGAAACUUACGCUAAUACCGCAUACGACCUACGGGUGAAAGCAGGGGAUCUUCGGACCUUGCGCGAUUGAAUGAGCCGAUGUCGGAUUAGCUAGUUGGCGGGGUAAAGGCCCACCAAGGCGACGAUCCGUAGCUGGUCUGAGAGGAUGAUCAGCCACACUGGAACUGAGACACGGUCCAGACUCCUACGGGAGGCAGCAGUGGGGAAUAUUGGACAAUGGGCGCAAGCCUGAUCCAGCCAUACCGCGUGUGUGAAGAAGGUCUUCGGGUUGUAAAGCCCUUUUGUUGGGGAAGAAAAGCAGUAGGUUAAUACCCCGCUGUUCUGACGGUACCCAAAGAAUAAGCACCGGCUAACUUCGUG